ACAGCCCAACUGUGGGGAUCACCCCCCCCCAUGCCCCUUCCUCCCCCAAAGCACUGCCACCAGGCCUCCCCCUGCCCAGAAACCUGCACCCUAUAUCCCCCAGAGCCCAUCCACGGGGCCUCCCUCAGCCCAGUCACCCACACCUCCUAACAGCCUGAUGCUGUGUCCUGGGUUUGUACUAAGUUUCCUGCAUGCUGCCUCCUUCCUUCAGGGCAUGUGAGGAACUGCAGCUCCCAGGAACCCUCCAGCUGUGUCUUCUAUUUGCGAGCUGGGUCCAGCAGCCCCUAGUGGCGGCCAGCAGCUCUGUAGCCCUUUUUGGUGGGAGAAAAAGGAAAUUCUGCAUCCACAAUAUUAAUUUCUGCGCAAAUUCUGUAUGCACAGUGGCACAGAAUUUCCUCAGGAGUAACAUUUGCAACAUUAUCUCCCCAACAUUGCAGAUAUUCUGAAAUGGGAAUGGAUGUAGCCCUUAACACUGAAGCCAGACGACCAAUUAACUAGUCAACUGCUGAUUGUAGCAGAAACAUCCAGCUAGUGGGCUUGUUCAUAAAUUUUGGGGUGUGGCCAGAUGUUUCUAUGAAAGAAGUCAGAGCGAGGCAUAUGAAUUCCAGCUUCAGAGUUUUAGUCACUUCUGACCCAGUCAACACGGAAUCCAUUCCCUCCUCCAGUAUCAAAAGCUUCCUGGGUACCAAAAAACUAAACUGCUUCACCACUUUCCUAAAUACCAAAAGAGCCAGCUAUCCAAAUCCAGCUUUCCCUAAUAGCCAGGAUGCAGGUUUGUGCACCAGAUUUUUUUCUCCUCGUAGUUAAACGUGUUGAAAAGCUGGGGGCUGCUUCAAAUAAGCUGACUAAAAACCAGGAAUACUGGAUUGUUUCCACACUUGAAUUAAAAAGCUUCCAUUAAAAAAAAAAUUGGAAUCUGUCAGAUAUUUCAGUUUUCUACAUGGGAGCGCUAAAAGAGAGCAAGGAGUCUUGCCACAGGAUUUAGGUCCAGCUUGCCAGAGAGAACCCAGGGUUUUAUAAUAUUAAAAGCCAGAUCCUUAGCUGGUAGAAUUCAGGGCAGCUCUGCAGCUGGUUAAGAAGUGCCAAUUUUUCCAUAGGAUUGUGUGUGUCUUUACAGGGAACUUUGGGGGAGAAACAUUUUUCCAAUGAAAGCCAUAACCAGGGACUACUUGAUUUUCAUAAACAUUUUUUUUGGCUCCCAAAAACUAGGAGUUUUUAAACCAAUGAACAUUCAGUUUUUCAAUAAAAUCAGGAAGAUUUGACCAAAUUGGAGGCUUUUCCAUGAAAGUUUUAGUCAAAAAGCUGCAUUUUGGGGGAAAAAGUUGACCAAUUCUAUGUGGCUCCAUUGAACGCUCUGAAACAGCUCAGGUUUACAUUAGCCGAGGAUCCAGCACUAUAUUUAAAUUAUGCCUCAGGUUGCCCAUCUGUAAAACAGGGAUACUGGGGUUUGCCCAUACUUGGAAAGGGCUUUGAGAGCUACAAAUGAAAAGAGUGAAGAAUUAUGGGUUGACAAUCUACAGUAUAUUUAGGUGCCACUGAGAUGCACAGUCAGACUGCUGGAAUUCUAGCCUUUAAACAAACAUGAUGCUAUUAGAAUUAAGAUCAGGUGGCACAGAAACAGAAGCCAGCAGUGGAAAGCAAUGGGGUUUGAUAUGAGAUUGCAGGGAGAGAGAAGGCUUGGCACACUGGAUGGAUGUCAUUCCAGGCCAAAGGAGAGCAAUGUGAAGAGAGGCAUGAAUGUCAGAGUUGAAGAUGAAGGAAGCAACAAUGAAAGGAGAGAGCCCCAAAAGGUGAAAGUUCAGAACCAAGAGUGGAAGACAAGACAGGAGUGGAACCUUAGCAAAGAUGAGGAUACUGAUCUUUAAGCAAAGAGGAAUGAGAGGCCAAAAGGAGGAGGCUCAACUGCUAAAAAGUGGCAAGAGGAUUGUUUUAGUUGCUAGGUGAUGUCAAGGUAGGAGGAGGAAGUUGCAGAAGAGCAGUUUACUGUAGCCCCUGUAAGAGUUCAUGCCAUGGCAUGAAUCAGCAUUUUAACCAGCGAGAACCCAUGGGAAGUGUUAGGAAGUGACUAGAUUUACUGAGAGGGAAAGAGUAACUCCAGCAUUACGAGACUGACAGAAGACAGUGGAGUUAUCGAUGAAGUGAGGAGGCAAGCUAAUUUAGGUGGGAAAGUACAGUUCAGCUUUUGUUGGGUUUAAUUUAGGGAAUUAACAGGACAUCCAGAAGGAUAUGCAAGCAUAGACAUGGGGAAGAAGUCAGAAGUAGGUUGAGGGUAGACAGUGUAAGCUCAAGACUAUGGGAGCUGAUUAGGUCACUGAAGGGGCAGAGUGAUGUAUAAGAUGAUCAGUGGCAGGCGAACACAAAACACGCCAAAAGGACAAGUCAGAAAGGAGGGGAGUUAGGAAAAAACAAACAGUCAAGGAAACCAAAAUAAGGCAGCCUCAAGCCCCUUGAGUCUGCAAGGAAGAAGCUGUUUGUGGAUUUUGUGGGGACAGUUUCAGUACAGAUUGUAACGGCUUCGAACAUGAGACAGUCUCAGCCCAUCUACAAGAUGUAAGAGAAUUUAUAAACUGUCAGAAUGCCAAAGAAGGGACCGCACAUCCACACCCACACCAAGGUACUACAAUGAGUCAGUGCUAGGAAGAAGUUCUAUAAUAGAACUGAGCCUUACUUAACAUAUCUCACUAAGGAAUACUAUACAAUUACAGCACUGCUUGUGCUUACUGUAGUACAGGCUAAUUCAGCAGACCUUUAAUUUUUCCUGUUUACUUUAAGCAAUUGGUGAUGUGACCUUCUGACUGUCAGUUUAAUAGCUGACACCUCCAAAUAAGACUGCUGCAAUUUGUAACUAAUAGAGCAUUGUUCCAUAAAGUUGGUGGUUACUUUCAGGGUAUAUAAUUAAAUAGCUCUAGAGACUAGUGUUUAAGAGAAACCUUAUCACUAUCACAGAAAGCGAAGAGAGGCCAAUAUUUCCAUGGGAAAUAUUUUUCAUUGCACCGCUACUACUGUACAGAGCAAGGUGGAUAACAGCUUUGAGAAAUGUAAAAUGAAUUCAAAGAUAUUGUAAUUUUAAAGACUGGUUUACACCACAGCUAGAUAAAUACAAUACUCAAGAAAUUGUAACUUAAUGCAGGUAAACAUGCAAGUGAUAAAUACGAAUGAUUUUCUGAAGGCCCAGUUGUGAAUCUUUACCUGUUGAACAGUUGCCUAUCUGAAUAAAGCAGUACAACUUAUAUUUCUACCUGAAGUCUUUGUUUCCAUGUGUAUGUUGAAUCUCUUACUAAAGGAGCCUUUAUUUCCAGAACUGCCUUUGUUAUGCUAUGACUCCAAGUUAACACAAUGGUGGAGUAUUAUGUUACUAGUUACCAUUUCAGUUCCCUGUUAAAUACAAAAUAAUCACGUGGAGACUCACAGACCACCAGGCAAUUCACUAGGAGAAACAAUAUUAGUUGUGUAACUUCUCACUGCUAAGUAUCUUUCCCUUGAUGCUAAAACAGAAUGUCAGGAUUGCCCUUUUCUCCACCCUCAGAGAAAGCUUCAAAUAUUACAACCUUUUAUAGAUGUAAGUAACAUAGGAUUUACCCUUCCAGAUUGGGUGCACUAAAUUCAAUAUCCUGCCUCUGACAGAGAACAGGUUUUUUAAGUGAGAAAAAAAACCUAGUGUUUAGCGCUUACUGAAACGGAAAUGUUUGUUGAAACAUGUUUUCAGUUGUUUACAGUGUAUGCCAUAGGUAGUCAAUUAUUUUUUUGUCAUGGUCCGGACUCCAGACGGUCAAGGAUCGGACUCCGGAGAAAAUAAAGAUUCCAGGGUCAGUUCAAAAGUAUCUUGAGGUCUGGAUCGUGUAUCUGUUCCCAAAGAAAACUGUCCAGAUUGCUGCCUGCAGGAGUUAAUGAUUUACUCUGCUGCUGCAGUUUCAUUAUUAAGGUUGUUCCAUGAUUCUAGAGAUCUCAAGCCAGCAGAUUAGUUUUUAAAAAAACAACUAGAGUUAAUGAAAUGUAGUUUUGUUUAUCUUGAAUUCACAUAGUCUGCACAGCUGAGGUUUCCCCCUAAUAGUUUUAUGUGGGGGAGGAAGGGGAUUAGCCACCAGAAUCCACCUCAACUCAAAACUCACAUUGUAAUCUGUUUCACUACAGUAUGAAAGUCCUGUUACAGGUGUCACUUAAGGUCUUUAUGCUAUGGAAAAAGGCACUAUUUCAGAGUAGCGUAGCUAAACAUUGCCAGAAUACUAUGACCUUGCAAUGGUUCAGCAUGCCAUAACCAUAAACCCAGUCUGUGUGCAAAUGAAGGCACUGCACACACAAUACUUGCCACAACACAACCUGUGCAAGUUGGUGCCUGUCCUAUAACUUCUGUACAGCUCUCUGGAGCUGGUGGAUAAUUGGCAGUAUGUUAUUUUGAUCUGUUAACAUUUGUUUUCCACCGUGCAAGAGCUGUGUAUGCAGAUACUACGGCUUGAGCAUAGCAGGAAGUACCCUGCACCUUCUGCCAGACAGACUGUGGUCCAUCGGCAUAUCCCCAAGUGGUGUGGUGCUUACUGGUAGAACAGUGCUCCAAGGAGAUAAGGAAUUUGGUUUGAUUUUUGUUUAAAUAUUUCAGGUGUUUGUCUUAUUGUACUUCCGGUUGUCGGUUAGAGCCUGCAAUCCACAGUCACUUCAAUGGCUGACUAGAGCCUGCAGCCUAGGGCCCUGUUUUACAGCUGAAUUAACAGCUUCUUUAACGUUCCCUCCUACAUCCAGACAGGGGAGUGGUCCAGACCAGAGUUGAGAGAAGAGCUCCCCCUAGAGGAAUUCAUUCCAGGUCCUCCAAAUCCCUCCCCCAUAAUAGCAUCCCAGGGGCACAUCCAGUACAAGCCCUUUGUUAGAGGAUUGAGGAGAGAGAAGAGAGCUAUGUGAGAGAACAGCAGUACCUGGAUCAUGGGACAUCAAACAGCAAGGUUUAUUUUAAGCAGGUUUUAAUGUGCAUUUGUUAACUCUCCUGUUUCUCAGGAGAUGAGAACAGCACAGUUCCCGGUUAGGUUUGAUGUUUUCUGACAUGUAAGUUAGAAUCAAUACAAGUAUACAUGAAGUUAUGAAUCUAACUCUCUCCACCUUUUUUUUUUUUUUGGGGGGGGGGGGAGAGGAGGAGAACACAAGAAGGACAGCAGGGAACAGCAACGGUAGAGCCAAGAGUAGACCCACAUCAACUGCCUUCGGACCCAAUUAGAACAGGGAGUGGGAGGGAGAGACCAGCUGCACCGGUGCAGCUGCAACACCUGUUCCAGCCCACACUGGCAUUACAGUGAAUGCAGUGGGCCAGUGCAGGUGCAAGCUUUGUUCAGACACAGAAGUAGUUUGCAGUCAUUGCAGCUGCGGCAACAUCUUUUUUCCUCUCUGCUGUAGAUGAACCUAAAGAGUCAGAGGAAGUUUUAAAAAACCCCACUCUGAAAGACUCCCCUUAUUCCAGGAGGACAAGAGAAUCUGUCAAGAGAAUUUGUCCUGGCAGCACCCAGCCUGGUCAGGCUUCCCUCCUGAGGAAGGAUGAGUAACUGUGAAAUCCUAAGUGGUAUACUGAUGCGAAUAGGUAUUUGGUCUUCCAAACUCAAUUUGAAGUGAUACAGCAUAUAUUAAAUGUGAACAGAAUAUUGAAUGUAGGGUUUUUUUAUGCUAUACUUUUCACAGUCAUGUUAGAUAAAGAUACCAAUAAUUAGCAGUCUAUAUUAACUCAUGGUGGAAGUCUAACUGAUAGCCAAUUAGCUCUCGGUAGUUAACAGGUUUGUAAAGGCUAGCGUAAAUACUCUCCAAAAAAGUGUUUUACCCUAAGGUAACCAAACUAUUAGCCAAAAGGUAAAAAAGCAGAAAGGGCUACAUCAUAUUCCAUAUAGAGCUAAAGAAAUGUAGUCUCGCCACAGAGGCAGGGCAGAAUUCAUGCGGAAUAGCAACAUGCAGCGCAAGUUUUACAAAGGAUUCCAUUUUUAAUUUUGACUCGUGAUUUUCAAGCAUGUUAGUGUAAUAAAUGUUUCAGAUCAGUUAUGGGGGAAAAUAUUUACGUAGAUUCUUAGCUCUCAAGUUCACUAUAAAGACAAGGUCAAAGUCUGCUAUAAUGUCUCACUCAACAUUUCCAGCUUAAAUAAAACAAGAAAAAGGCUAUUUAGCAGCUGCCUGUGUGGUCUGACAAGUCAUUGUGAAGUUACAUCAAGUUCCAUUUGGUAUCAAAAACUUAAAAAGUUUCGAUUCAAGAGUUUAAACCAGGAUUCUCUAAAAGAGCAGAAAAAUGAAAAAUGUUUGUCCGGUUGAUAGCCCACAAACACAUUGUUUCUUUGGGAUGGGGUGGGGGAAUACCCUCAGACUCAGGGCUGAUAAUGAACUCAACAGAAACGCCUCCUCAGAAAAAACAGAUAACAGAAGAGGUGCAGACCAAACUGGUUCAGUGAACCAUCUUCACAUUCUAAUCUAAACACAACAACCUGGUGCACCUUCAGCCUUCAUACAGAAAUUGUGCAUGCCUUCCCACACAGAACAUAUUUGCAGUUCACUUCCCGUGUAAGCGCUCUUUUCAAGAUGGCUGUUUAGAAAGGGCCAUCUGACCAACCUAGAAAUGAACUGAAUUUUAAUACCCUUAAUUAUUUUUCUUCCACUUGAUGAAAAUGCAGAUUGCCACGCCCAAGCCUGAAUGCCAAAGACUGUCUGUUUCUUAUGCAUUACUGAUUGUGGAAUAAGAAAAGGAGUACUUGUGGCACAAAUAAAUUUGUUAGUCUUUAAGGUGCCACAAGUCCUCCUUUUCUUUUUGCGGAUACUCUUGUCCAGGCUGCUACUCUGAAACAGAUUGUGGAAUGUUUCAGCUGCAAAUAUGAUAUAUGUUCUAGGAUCAAAGGGAUGGAGUGCUACUACACUUGUUACAUUUUCAUUAAAAAUUUGGCUGUCCGUACUACCUGGUACUACAUUAUUCAUUGCCAAUGAAAAGUAGAAAAGCUGAGCAAAGGAGAAAAAAAUAAAAAUACAAUUAUCCUCAGCUUGUGAUCCACACCACAACCAAGGCUAUUUCAACUAUAGACAUGCCUCCAAGGUACUAAGCAAAAGCACAAAAAAUGUAUGGUAUAAAUAUCAUGUUUGGCACACCAAAGUCUCACCAAAUGAAUAAAAGAGUCGUUUGAAAUACACGUACAAAUCAGUAUAAAGAUAGUGCAAUGAAGCAUUCAGAUAGGUUUUAAAAGUGGUACUAAGCUUUGUGGUUUUAUGGUUGGCAGUGGACUCUUUUACAUGCUUAAGCAGAAUUGAUCACGACACCCAUCUCUGAAUCUACUGAUCAUUUAAAAAUAAUUAUAUGUGACCUGGUAGGAAAAAAUACAGCUGACAGUAGUUAAAAUGAAAAUGGCUACUGGAAAAGCGUGCAUCUUUAGUACCAGAAACAGCCAUAAUCCCAUCAAAAUAUGGGCAUAUAGCUUAGCUGAAAAAAAAUGCUAGCUGCCUCUCUAGCAAGGUAACUUUUCUACAAUUUUAUGCAUUGUGUCUUUUCAGGGUACAUCUAUGCAGCAUUUUACAGCAAGCCUCCAAACCCAGUGUGACACUGUAUGGAAUAUAGACUAACACGGCUGUUACUCUGAAACCUGAUCCAUGUGGAUGUGUUUCAAAGAGCCAGCAAACUCACCAGUGCUGCUACGAACUCUGAUGUCGUAUAUUAUGAACAAACAGGAAAAUGAAGAUGAAGACGACUGAGUUAGCUGCAGAAGCCAACAUUUUAAGUUUCUCGUGUUGAUGUGGCUGACAUAGUUGAGUUAAUUUUUUUUU